rnacentral:pre_miRNA from 1 species
AAUACUUGUCACUUUGAGUUUUUGCCUGUAAAGUUUGAUCAUUCGUCUUAUUUAAAAAAUUAUGGAAUUAUUAUUUAUUUAUUUUGUAACUUGAUUUAUUAUCAAAAAUACUUUAGAUACGUAUAAUCUUUUUUUAUAUUUGCAUUAAUUUUUCAAAUAAGACGAAUGGUCAAACGUUACAAGCAAAAAAUCAAAGCGACAACUAAU